GACGCCCGCCGCUCCGACCUCGACCUCGUCGAGGCGCUCUCCUCCCGCGUUCGCCACCUCGACGCGGUGCACUCGCGCGCCGAGUCCGCCUUGGACGCCGACGACCUCGCGGUCGCCGCCACCGCUGCGCGCGAGUUCCUGUUGGAUCAGGUCGCCGCUUCCUUGUCCGUCUCUGACGCCUAUUCCUUCUCCUUUCCUCUCCCAAAAGAUUCACAACGAGGCAACCUCUCCUUUCUCUUCUUUCCAUGAUCUGGUCUUGAUAACAAGAUCUGAGGUGAACACCCUCUCGUGCGCCGGCGUCGGAGAGGGCCGGGAGAACCACCAAGCCAUUGGGCAGUCCGCCUCUGGCUUCUCUGAUCAGUAAGAUCUUCCUCCUCUUCCUUCCCAUCUCCUUCUCCCUCUUCCUGGCAAGACGGUUAACCUUGAUUUGGGUGGUGUGAUGGCCAGAUAACCAUAGACUGGUAGUUAUUUCUUGUGAAAUUCCUUCAUCUAUAUACGUUUGGCAGAGUUUGGUUAAUUGCUCUUGUUUGUAGUAGUAAAAUUGCAUCAGAACAACCUAAAAAAAUAGUACAUUUUGAUGUGUUUGAGAUAGUUCCUCCCCUGAAAUCACCUUUAUUAAUAUUUUGUUUGUUUUAAGUGAAGCAAGUCUUUUAUCCAAUUUUUGCAUGUGUGUUUCCUCUGUUCGCAGGUGGUUGUCGGGUGAGCACCGGUUUUAUGGCCUUUCAUUGAUCGAUCGUGUUGUUCAUCUUCCUGUGGUGGGCCUUCUGCUUCAUUUGUGGUCAAGAUGAGUUUUUGCUAUAUUUGUCCGUGUGAUUUAGUGUUUUCGGUGUCCUUGGAUUUAUAUGUAUGUUGGUCGAUUCAUGCUCAUUAGGAGUUUGAUGCUAUGCCAUCCAUAUGGUGGCCUGAGAUUUUUGUUUCUUUUGUCAGAAAUCGCAUAAGUGAGCUCAUUCUCGACUUCGAUUCGGCGUUCGGUGUGAUGAGUGGAUCGUCUCUCUGCAGUUCAGGUACUGUUUGGGAUCUCUUUGAGCUAGGGUUCAGUUUACUUCUGAUUGGUCUCGAUUUGUUAUUCUCGCUAUUAUUUUGGUUGCACUCUCUUGUGAUGCGGUUGUAUAUCGCUGAGUCUUUCUCCAUCAACACAUCGGCUAUCUCGGCGUGUUCUUACAUUUCUAUCCUUUACAAAAUAGUCCACAUUUCAUACUCCGAUUCCACUUUUCCACAUGUACCCUCGAUGCACUACUUUACUUUUAGAAGAGCGUAUGGUAGCGGCGACUGUGACAUUUUUUUUAGAAAAUUUUAGAAUCUUUGAAUUCUGCAGUCACCCCGCUUAAUUUCUGCACCAUAGGAUAGAGUACAACGAGUCCUCUCAGAUUCAAUUUUCUGUUCACUAACAAAGACAAAGAGAUUAAGCUAAGUUAUUCAAACACCUAGAUGAUCUAAGUUGCCUACUUUCUCUUACCACGGGAUUGCAUUUCUUCAAACUAUGUUGCUUUUUAAUCAUCAGGGUUUUUAUAUUUUUCAGUUCUUCCAGCAGAAAGUAAUCUGAUUUGUCAACUAAUUAUAAACAACAUCAUGUUAACGUGAAUUUUGGUUCACCUUCACUCAUUCUGACAUUUAUCACCAUAAAAUAUUUUACAGCAAAUUGUCUUUGUCCUUAGUCAUGGACGGGUUUGGUUGAGGUGCACUUGUGUACAACCCUUUAAGUCAUCAAGUACUUUGGUGUCCUAUUUUUUGCAAUAUAGAAUGUCUCAUGGUGCAUUUUCUUCUGUAAUCUUAUUUAGAUGAGCACCAGCAUCUCUGUAACUUCUUCAAAAUACAGUAACGAAGCUGCAUUUGUUUUCAUGGUUGGCUCUUCUCUCAUCAGGCGGCACCAAAUUGGUAGGGCUUCACCUCAUACUUUCAAUGCUUCUCAUUCAGUGCAUCGUUGUUUUGUGCUUGAAUACUCUUCUUUUACUUGCAUCUUCUUUUCCUUUUAAUUUGACUGAGCAUUUUAGUCUGGCAAUGUGCCCGUGUCAAUUCUACAUAUGGUUAUCGCAUCAGCAUGAUACAAAAUGAGAGCAUUUCAUUGGCGGCUAGAUUGUUUCAUGGUUAUGUUCUUCUGUAAUUAUCUUUUUGGGUCAAUUUACACAUGAUAUAGCUAAUAUGUUGUAUGGCGAAUUAAUUUAGGUCUGUUUCGGUGGCCAGCUACUGAUAUGUCAUUAGUGGCUAGAACAAGGCACAUACUAUUUUUUCCUUUCGAUUGGGUGAUAUACCCCACGGCUGUAAAGAAAUGAAGUUGCAGUGUCGUACGGCGAAUUAAUUUAGCUUUGUUUCGGUGGCCAACUGCUGACAUAUUAUUAGUGGCUAGAACAAGGCACGUACUUUUUUUUUUCCUUUCGAUUGGGUGAUAUACCCCACAGCUGUAAAGAAAUGAAGUUGCAGUGUCGUACGGCAAAUUAAUUUAGCUCUAUUUCGGUGGCCAACUGCUGACAUCUUAUUAGUGGCUACAAAAAGGCACAUACUGUUUUUUUUCUUUCUAUUGGGUGAUAUACCCCAUAGCUGUAAAUAAUGAAGUUGCAGUGUAAUGAUAUAGCAUCUUAUUUCUGCAUCUUUUGCCUUGCGGUCUUCAGUACUUGUGGUUAGUACUUGUGGUUAGCUGAUGUUUAUUUUCUGAUUCUAUUGAUUCUUGUUAGCAGGGUUGUCUGACAUGGUCUGCAAUGUUAGUGCUGGUCUGAAGCUUUUCUAGAAGCAUUUGUGUGUUCUCAAGCUCAGGAGUUACAAGGAGCAAUGGUGCUAUGGUCUUGAACUUCCACUGAUCUUGUACUGAAGAAUGAUCCUUAGCUUAGUUACUUAGCUUGAUGUCUUUUUUUGAGGAUAGGUUUGGAGUUGCAUCCACUUUUGUCUAGGUUGGUACGUCCACCAGAAUUCGCAUGACAUUAUAUGCCAAGAUGAGUUGUUGUACUUCCUCUAAAUGCAUGGCUCAAUGCAAACGACUGAUUUAUUUUUCUUAUAAUAUGUAAACCAUGUACUGCAUCAACACUCAUUGUAGAUCAUGCUUUCAAUUGCCUGAACUUUCUUUUUGUGGUAUGCAGAUGACAAAAUGUAGGGAUUCAUAUUUUUCUUAUGUCCCUGCAUGGGAUUUUAUGAUUGCACAAAUCAUAAGAGAAAUCAGUGAUAGGCCUAAAAUUAUUGUGGUUGCAGAUGAUGUGGGAAAGGAUGUCCCGGCUCACGCCCUGGAGUGCAAUGAGGAAGUGGUGUAGGCCAUCGAUGUGGACAUGUUCUUCUCCGGUGCUCAACNNN
rnacentral:lncRNA from 1 species